AUGCCGCGUGAGUGAUGAAGGCCUUAGGGUCGUAAAGCUCUUUCGCCAGGGAUGAUAAUGACAGUACCUGGUAAAGAAACCCCGGCUAACUCCGUGCCAGCAGCCGCGGUAAUACGGAGGGGGUUAGCGUUGUUCGGAAUUACUGGGCGUAAAGCGCACGUAGGCGGAUUAGAAAGUCGGGGGUGAAAUCCCAGGGCUCAACCCUGGAACUGCCUUCAAAACUGCUGGUCUUGAGUUCGAGAGAGGUGAGUGGAAUUCCGAGUGUAGAGGUGAAAUUCGUAGAUAUUCGGAGGAACACCAGUGGCGAAGGCGGCUCACUGGCUCGAUACUGACGCUGAGGUGCGAAAGUGUGGGGAGCAAACAGGAUUAGAUACCCUGGUAGUCCACACCGUAAAC
rnacentral:rRNA from 1 species